GGAGAGAUGGCCGAGUUUGGUUUAAGGCGCACGACUCGAAAUCGUGUGAGGGUUGACCCCCUCCGUGGGUUCGAAUCCCACUCUCUCCGCCA
rnacentral:tRNA from 1 species